CUCGCUUCUUGGCCUUUUGGGUAAGAUCAAGUGUAGUAUCUGUUCUUAUCAGUUUAAUAUCUGAUACGUCCUCUAUCUGAGGACAAUAUAGUAAAUGGAUUUUUGGAGCAAGGAGAUGGAAUAGGAGCUUGCUCCAUCCACUCCACACAUUGACCUGGUUUUGCAGUGCUUCCAAGAACGGUGCACCAAAA
rnacentral:snRNA from 1 species